GGCGAGAUAGCUCAGUUGGUAGAGCACACGACUGAAAAUCGUGGUGUCGGCGGUUCGAGUCCGCCUCUCGCCA
rnacentral:tRNA from 1 species